GUUUAAGCACACUUUUUUUUUCCUCUCCUUGGAAGCACACUUGGCACUUCUUCAUCUCCAUGUGCUGUUGUCAUGCUGCCCAGGUUUCAGGCAUUGCUAACUGACUGCAAGGCAAUAGGACUGUAUCUGCAGGAUGAGGGCUGCCCAGCAGAGUCCAAGGGAGGCGGCUGCAUGCCAUCUGUCUGAGAGAAGACUCCAACAGAACCCUGGCAUAUUAGGAGGAUUUCUAAUAUGGAAAUAGGCA
rnacentral:lncRNA from 1 species